rnacentral:tRNA from 1 species
GUCCCCGUAGUUCAACGGAUAGAACUACUGUUUCCUAAACAGUCGAUCUGGGUUCGAUUCCCAGCGGGGGCA